rnacentral:rRNA from 1 species
UUGACGGGGACCCGCACAAGCAGCGGAGCGUGUGGUUUAAUUCGUUGCUACACGAAGAACCUUACCUGGGUUUGACAUAUAGGUUGUAGGGAACUGAAAGGGACCGACCUUCGGGAGCCUAUACAGGUGUUGCAUGGCUGUCGUCAGCUCGUGUCGUGAGAUGUUCGGUUAAGUCCGCUAACGAGCGCAACCCUCGUCGUAUGUUAUAUGUGUCAUACGAGACUGCCGGUAAAAGCCGGAGGAAGGUGAGGAUGAUGUCAAGUCAGCAUGACCUUUAUAUCCAGGGCUACACACACGCUACAAUGGUCUGUACAAUGGGUAGCCAAGCCGCGAGGCGGAGCCAAUCCUGAAAGCAGGCCUCAGUUCAGAUUGCAGUCUGCAACUCGACUGCAUGAAGCCGGAGUUGCUAGUAACCGCAGGUCAGCAAUACUGCGGUGAAUACGUUCCCGGGUCUU